rnacentral:tRNA from 3 species
GGGCCCGUAGUCUAGCUUGGUAGGAUCCUACCUUGGGGUGGUAGUGGCCUGUGUUCAAAUCACAGCGGGCCCA